rnacentral:rRNA from 1 species
AGGAUGAACGCUGGCGGCGUGCCUAACACAUGCAAGUCGAACGUCCUGUCUCGCAAGAGGCAGGGAGUGGCGGACGGGUGAGUACCACGUGGGUUAUCUACCGUGAGGUGAGGAAUACCGGCGAGAAAUCGCCGACAAGACCGCAUAGCCUCGGUGCAAGCCGAGGAAAGCUUUCUCGAGAGAGGGAGCGCCACACGAGGAGCCUGCGCCCGAUUAGCUAGCUGGUGGAGUAACGGUUCACCAGGGCGACGAUCGGUAGCUGGUCUGAGAGGACGAUCAGCCACACUGGGAUUGAGAACGGCCCAGACUCCUACGGGGGGCAGCAGUGAGGAAUUUUCGUCAAUGGGGGCAACCCUGAACGAGCAACGCCGCGUGCAGGAGAAGGUUUCGGAUCGUAAACUGCUUUUCUCGGGGUAAGAGAACGGACGGUACCCGAGGAAUCAGCCCCGGCUAACUACGCGCCAGCAGCCGC